rnacentral:rRNA from 1 species
UUGAACGCUGGCGGCAGGCCUAACACAUGCAAGUCGAGCGGAUGAAGGGAGCUUGCUCCUGGAUUCAGCGGCGGACGGGUGAGUAAUGCCUAGGAAUCUGCCUGGUAGUGGGGGAUAACGUCCGGAAACGGGCGCUAAUACCGCAUACGUCCUGAGGGAGAAAGUGGGGGAUCUUCGGACCUCACGCUAUCAGAUGAGCCUAGGUCGGAUUAGCUAGUUGGUGUGGUAAAGGCCUACCAAGGCGACGAUCCGUAACUGGUCUGAGAGGAUGAUCAGUCACACUGGAACUGAGACACGGUCAAGACUCCUACGGGAGGCAGCAGUGGGGAAUAUUGGACAAUGGGCGAAAGACUGAUCCAGCAAUGCCGCGUGUGUGAAGAAGGUCUUCGGAUUGUAAAGCACUUUAAGUUGGGAGGAAGGGCAGUAAGUUAAUACCUUACUGUUUUGACGUUACCAACAGAAUAAGCACCGGCUAACUUCGUG